AACUUUGUACAGCGGUGAUAUCGUAACCAAUGGGGUUUAUUCGAGGUGCGAUUAUUGCUAGUUGGAAACUGAUAUUCUUUUAGUACUUCAAGAAUUCACAGCAACAUAUACACGGAACAUUUAACAUG
rnacentral:snRNA from 1 species